rnacentral:lncRNA from 1 species
AAAGUGUUAUUUGACUGGAGUGAGGUCUCAUGUCUGCUUAUGCGGUGGCUCGCUGCUCAGAACAGGGAGGAAGAGGGUAAUCUGGAAGAGUUUCCUGACCUACUCUGCUGCUGUGAUUAAACAACCACCAGGAAAUUUUGAUGACACUGUUCUCCUGAGCUCCUCCCUUUCCUCGGGGAAGAAAAGCAUUGAAACUACAAAAAUAAAGUGUUAUUUGGCUGGAGUGAGGUCUCAUGUCUGCUUAUGCGGUGGCUCGCUGCUCAGAACAGGAUGGAGUCUUGCUCUGCCGCCCAGACUGGAGUGCAAUGGCGCAAUCUCGGCUCACUGCAACAUUUGCCUCCCAGGAACCAUUGGAGAUACUCAUUACUCUUUGAAGGCUUACAGUGGAAUGAAUUCAAAUACGACUUAUUUGAGGAAUUGAAGUUGACUUUAUGGAGCUGAUAAGAAUCUUCUUGGAGAAAAAAAGACUGGGUAUAUUUUCAAUAUGCUUUCCUUUUAAGGUCCCUCACCUGUGGAAAGUAAAGAAUGUCACUUUCUGACAGGCUCAGGAACCUCAAGUUAUGUAGGGAUCUCAAGAAGAUGGGGGAAUUCACCCAGUUCAUACAGGUGAAAUUGCUGUUGCAAAGAUUAUGAAUAUGAGAGAAGUCCAGCAUGGCUGACUUCAUCUCGUGUCUGGCCUCAGGCUGGCUGCCCUUGCUCACUCUUGGGCAUAGGCCAAGCUAGCCAUGGGAGGAAUUUAGUUUAUAGUUUAACUUUGAAGCACGGAUGAUAAUAGUCUCUCCCUAAAAUGAACCCCUUCCUUGCUCAGGGACUGAAACUACCUUUGUAUGACAAAUGAAAGCCCACAAGAUUAAGAUUAUGAGAGGGGCCUGAAUUCUGCUAAAAUGCAGGUGUAGCUGACUGAUAACAAGUCAUUGUCCCACAGCUUGCCUUUCUAUAAUCUCUUGCUUCUCAGGAGUCACAUGGCCAGAGGUCCUGAGAUUUCCAGUCCUGUGACCCCCACCCAGAGAUGGACUUAGUGCAUGAGGACCAUUUUCCACACCCCUAUGAUUUCAUCCUCAAACAAUCAGCAGCAACCAUUCCCUAGCCCCCUGCCUUCCAAAUUAUCCAUAAAAAUCCUAGCCUCUGAGUUAUUAGGGAGAUUGAUUAAUAAUCCCAGUCCUACCCCUUGGGUUGCUCUGAUUUAAUUAAACCUUCUCUACUGCAAUACCACGGACUCAGUAAAUUGGUUUUGUCUGUGCAAUGGGCAAGAAGAACAUGUUGCAUGGUUAUACAGGUACUACAAGCACAGUCUGAUGGCAAAUUAUUGGUUUUGCUUCCUGCCCUUGAUGUUUCUAAACAUCUAGUCCAAAAUUACUUGUGAAAGGUCCAGCAAAGCCAAUUUUAAAAGAGGCUAUAUGGCCAAUCACUAUUCUUUCUACACAUUAUUGCAAAUAAUCAGGCCACGGCUGGGCACGGUGGCUCAUGCCUGCAAUCCCAGCACUUUGGGAGGCUGAGGCAGGAUCACCUGAAAUCAGGAGUUCAAGACCAGCCUAGGCAACAUGAUAAAACCCUGUCUCUACUAAAAAUACAAAAUUAGCCAGGCAUGGUGGCAUGCACCUGUAAUCCCAGCUACUUGGGAGACUGAGGGAGGAGAAUCACUUGAACCUGGGAGGCAGAGAUUGCAGUGAGCUGAGAUCACACCACUGCACUCCAGCCUGGGCAAUAGAGUGAGACUUUGUCUCAAAUAAUAAUAAUAAUAAUCAGACCAAGUAUAAUGAAAUUAAAAUUUAUUUUGCAAAUAAAUUGGUCCUACUACAAUUUAUCCUUCAUAGAAAUGUGGAAACUGAAGAUAAAAAAAAUUAGGUUUCAGAAGAAAACUAUACUACACCUGUUAUUAGAUUCUAGCCCUAAACAUUGUUUUUGAGGUUUUUAUUAUUUACCUGCAAUUUGGUCUAAAUUCUGAAUUAUUUCCUGACUACAAGUAUCCAAGGAAUAAAUGGGUUUUCUUUUUCUUUAUGAUAGUUUUAGUUGGCUUCUAAUGCAACAACAAUUUUUAUUGUAAUCCUGUGUGCAUUCUAUUCCUACUAUUCAAAUUAUUAAUGUUAUAGAUCUUUCAUUGUAGUACUUCUGAAUUAACCAAAAUCACAGUAUUCUGAAGAUGAUUCUACAAAGCCUGCUGUUUCUACAAAGGCUGCUGAUGAUUUCUACAAAGCCUGCUGUAGUGUUGCUGUGGCCUCUGCUUAAAAAAGUAGAAAACACAUUGAUGCAGCAUGUUCACCCCAACCUCCCUGCCUAAAGGCUCAGGGACCAUCUUGGAAGAGGAAGGCGCGUGAGAUUGUAAGAGCCGAAUUAGGGGGAUGGAGUGUGGAGAAUAAGGACACUUCAUCUUGGAUGCUCACCUGCCAAAUUGACUUCUGAUGAAAGCCAGCUCCAGAAAUGUGCCUACAGUUACUACUUUCACCUAAACCCUGCCCUUAGUCAAAUCCUUCUCUUCUUCUAAGCAAUCAACUUCAAUUCCUUGUAUAACCCACAGUAUAAAAGGGCUUUUAUACCAUUCUAUCCUAUUGCAUGUAAGCCUUGGGUCUGGGAGGUAACAGUGUGGGAUUCCACCAUCUCAUCUCCCUGCCACCCAAACAUGCCUGCUCUUCUUUAAGCAAUAUUAAAUGUUUGUACUUCAGAAA